UAAAAUCAAUUGGGUAGUUUCCUAGGUCAAAAAUAAAUUAUUUUGAUAUUUGAAUAUAAUAAAAUAUCCCAAAAUAAUCGUAUUUUCAUUCAUUCAUUUGACGAUAUACUUAUUUAUUUAAUUUUUCUUGCUAUUUUUUGCGUAAUAAGUAUGCUAUUUGACGCAAAAAAAUUAUGACGUCAUAAUUUGCAAUGUCAUACAAAAUUCAUAGAAAAGUAACGUUUUUGACAUUUCGAUAAAAGUAUUGAAUUUGACUAGUAGUAUAAUACCCUAUUCAAUGCGAUGCGGAGUGACGGCGGCUAUGUCCUACGUGCAUGCGAAUCGUUUCGUUUUGUUUCUACGCAACGUCACGCCUUUAAUCCCCGAAGGGGUAGGCAGAGGUGCACAUUACGGCACGUAAUGCCGCUAUACAAUGUACACCCACUUUUCACCAUUUGUGUUAUAAGUCCCAUGUAAUAGGGGGUGAGUCUAUUGCCAUAUACCGGACACAUUUCUAGACUCCGUGCUACUACUGAGAAAUUUUCGAAAAACCGAAAAAAGCCCAGUAUCUUUCCGACCCGGGAAUCUAACCCGACACCCCUUAUCCGACAGUCGUACUUGCA